GCCACACAUACAGGCCACUCACAACCCAAUAGCAAGGGCUGAGUGAGCGGCGACUCCGGUGAUUCCCGACGGGCAUUGCAGGGGGAGAGCGGCGAUUCCCGGCGUGCACAGCCGGAGAGAGGGGCGAUUCAGGUGGUUCUGGCAGACAACGGAGGCGGAGGCCCAGUGACGAGCUUCCUGAGACAGCGCCAUGGACGCAUCCGCGAGUGGGCGACACGAUGGUCUCCUCCCCGACGGCGUCCUCUCGUCGGCGAAGAGGGACUCGCCCUCCACGGGAUCUCGCCGCAGUGUGAGGAGUCGCUGGUGGAGGUCCUGCUCGCGGAGGGGAGCGACGACGAGUCCCCAUGAAUUUGCAGAGGGAGGGGGCGAUGCCGUCUUCAGAUGAGGCGGGGCGCGCUUAUGGCGCCGCGCACGAGCUGGAGGCCCUCCUUAAUUUGCGCAUGCUCGCUUGCUCUUCCACGCCGACGAGGAGGAGGCCCUCUUCCUCUUCCGAGAUGACGACGAUGAGGCGCAAGGCCGAGGCGACUGUGGCACCACUGGUCGGUGACGACGGGGCCGUGCUCCGCCUGCUCCGUGCUCACGCAGACAAUAGACGCCAUGGAGCUGAAUUCAAGAUAUGUAAUGGCGGUUUCAACCCCACAGUUACCUGCCCCGACGAGGAGCGCCGUCCCUAUGAGGCUGUCGCCUGGUUAAAGUGUGACGGCCUCGACCGCCUCGCGAUGGCCCCCCUGCGUUGGAUUCUGAUUUCCUUGUCAGUGUGACGAUGCUUGCGAUUUGCAAGGGCAUCGGAGCUCUGCGGGUUCCUCGACAAAAGCAAAUCAGGUGACCGUUGUUUCUUUGUUCUGGGAAAAUGUAGCUCAAUUCACAUAUGUGGGAUGAUCGGUUCAGUUAGUUGUACAGUCUAUUGUUUGAUGAGCUCGAUGCACUUUGUGUUGUAAGGAUUUUAUUUGAGAUAGUGCAGUCAUAUUAGCUUCUGCACCUGGAGUGCCCAUGCUGCAUUGAGUGGGACAAUUCCAUUUUUUCUGGAGUUUUGUUCUUG
rnacentral:rRNA from 1 species